ACAGGUGGCGCUAAUGCUCCGUCCCUGAGUUUACAACAUACAGAAACACAGAUAGCCAUCUAUUUAACGGAAUCGAAAGCUAAAAUCGAGCGAAGUCUUCUUAUCGUGUUCGGCGUGCCGCUAUAGCAGGGACAACGAAGCUUCAGACAACGAUAUUUAUGCAGGGCUACCCUCGUACUUGUAUUGCGUACAGUGCUGCUUGGCGUGUUUCAUACUAUACAUAUAGUAUGCGUUCGA
rnacentral:lncRNA from 1 species